rnacentral:lncRNA from 1 species
CAUCUUCACAAGGGCCUUUGCUGUUGUUCUGGGAUUGAUUUUCACUUUUCGCACCAAGAUGAACGUGGUACCUUCAGGCGUUUGGAAAUUGCUCCCAAAGAUGAACCAGACUUGUGGAGGUCUACAAUUAUUUUUCUGAGGUCUUUGGAUUUUCCCAUGAUGUCAAGCAAAGAGGCACGGAGUUUGAAGGUAUUGUUCUUCCCGUGUGUCUGUUCUUUCUCAACAGAAGGACUUCUGAACGGAAUGUUCAGAGUUGGCAGUCUUCAAAGAAAAACAGCAACAACUGUAUGAUUGGCUAAGUCAGAGGAGAGGGGAAAGGUCAAGCCAUCUAAUGAAUCACCUGGCUGCAUGGUGUUUGUCUCCGGUGUCACGGCUGGCUGUGUGUAUUAGAUAGGAGAUAACAUUGGGCAAAUAACAGCACGUUGACUUCUUUGGAGGAUGUCCUAUGGAGAAACGGAUGUUAUGGGGAAAUAGUGGUAACUGAGUCAAUUUUCUUUUUACUUUUUUUCUUCCUCAUUAUUGCAUCUGUUUAUGUCUGUGUGUGUUCCUUUACUGCACCCUAUUUCGAGUAUGUACUGAAUGUGAAAUCCACAACAGGAGCAUCAGAGCAAAAUAGCGUAUUUUCCUGAAUAGCUCCAACUGUGUG